rnacentral:tRNA from 1 species
GGAGGCGUCCAGGUGUCUGGUGACCCUCCUGGUCUUCAAAACCAGUGGGGCCCGUUCACGGGCCCGGCGGGUUCGAUUCCCGUCCGCCUCCGCCA